CUUGGUACAGCUGGCCCCGCCUCCAAUCUUCAUGAUCUCAGCCAAUCCAAUGCUUUCCCUUAGUUGCUGCACACUUUGCAGGAUUGGGAUAGGAAGCACCUCAAGCGGCCAUCUGAGAGACUGCACCUAAAGUUGUUACUAAAGGUGUUACCAGUCGGGGUGCCAGGUGAUCCGUUACAAAUACCACAUAAGAUCAGCGACCGAACUCCCUCGUUCGGAAC